UUUACAUUUCUUGAAAUGUCAUGCUACUUUUAAAACCACAAAAUAGAAGGACAUUUGGACCACCUAAGAACUAGGUCUCAGCUUCAACACAAAUACAACAAUUGUGGCAUAUGUUUGUUUUGCUGUGUUUAUUCUUUCCUCUCAGUCAUUCCAUUGUCAGCUUGCAUUUGAAGAAACAGAGUUGGACUAAGCUAACUGGAUUUGGAGAAACUCACAAAGGAUCUGGUUCACCACAAAUUUCACCAAAUCCAUACUCAAACACUGUUAAAGGUAGUUUUAACAGGAAAAGGGACAAUAAAUCCAAUUCUGCUGCAUACAAAGUUGGCCUACGACCUUAACACACUGAAUGUAACGAUUUCAAAGAGAUUUAUGGCCCUUAAGAGUAUUGACUUCAUUGGUGUGGUCUGUUAAAAAUAAUAGGGCUGCAUUUUUGAUGUUUCAUUUUAUACAACUAUACAAUAUACAGCUAUAAUCUUGUCUUAUCAUCACAAUAUCAUGUAUUUCAUAACUACAGAGCCAGGCAGUAAUGUUAUUCUCCAAGCUAAACUAUACAUAGGAAACACUAUGAUAGAAGGAAAAGACAAAAGAAAAUAGCUCUAUACCCUAAAACCUUUCUUUAGGGUGAUAUAAAAAUCUUCUCUUCCUGUAUUUACUGCGUUCGUUGCUAAGUUAAUUUUCAAAAGAUUGCUACACCUGCCAAGUCAGAUUGCAUAAGAGUCAGUGAAGCCUUGAGGGUGACCAGCAUGAACAAUAUCUGAAGUAUUUCCAUCACACCGUAAAUCAUCUGGAGGCGAGAUGCACUGAUGACACCCUGGCUCUUGCCAUUCUAGCAUGGAUUCGGUGGGAACAACUCAAAAUUCAUAGAAAUUCAGUUUAUUUAAACAAGUACAUUCAGUAUAUACAAGCUAUAAACAAAUUUGCAUACAUUCAUUACACUCAUUUAUAGAAGAGUUUCUAAUGCCUCCUUUUUACUUUGUGAGCUUAAAGCCACGCUACCAGCUCUGUAUAAAAGCUAAACAUUAAUCACAGCCCCUAAUGAAUCACACUGUAUGCACAUGUGUGUAUGGGUGUGGCACUGUGGUUGUUUCAGUUUCCUCAUUAUUUCUUUGGAAAUCGCUGUCUUAAUCAAAGAUGAAUUGCGGCGUACGUGGUUGAAUUUGAUGAGCCUCUGUAUUUCAAAGGCUAGUGAUAAACCACUGAAAACACAACCUAUACAUUAUACAAAAAAAUUUACUUAAUCUUUAUCCAGUAGUGAUAACCCUUGUUUCUAAUUUCUCAAACAGUACAUGUGGAAAUGAGUCCCGUCUUUAUCGCACAGGUUAGAGCUUGCGUGCAUAUGAGUGGGAGGUUAGAUGGAUUUCAUGUAACUGCUCUAACUCUUUAGUAAGUGUAAGCCUGUACAUGCACAGAGAGGGAAGCUACUCCUGGAUGUAAACUUUUUCUGUUGCUCCACUGAACAUUCUGUUCUCACUUAUCAGUUUACCACUACCUCAUUCAGCCACCCUUACCAAUACAACUCGUGCAUGAAUAUAAAUUGUUCAGGCUUCCUCUUGUCUGUUCCCUCCAGUAAUAGAACAAACAAUCCCAUUUGCACACAAAGGAAGCUCAUGUUGACAUCUACUCACACUUUUAAUAGAGUGCCCUGUUUUCUAUUACCCCAGCAGUUAAACUUCCUCUCCCUCCUUUUUCUUCUGCUUCUUCUUAGAAUCUCUUACCCCGCUUUCUUCAUUCUCUUUCUUACUCACAAAGUCCUAACUCUCUCUUUUUCAUUGCCACAACUUCCCCCUGAGGCUGGUGAGUCAUCUUAGUCUCCAACAUGACUGCAUGCUAUUGUAUGUAACUGCGAACGGCAAAAAGGUCCCUGAGGGAAUAACUCCUAACUGAAACCAUGUGAUUCGUACAUACUGAUAGUGUAUUUGACCAUGUGAUCCUCACACACGGUCAAGUACACUGUGAGUUCUUUACAACUGGCUAAUGCUUUGUUCAAAUAAACACAUAUCUGUCUUUCUUGCACAUUUUUUGAAACAGUUGACAGACAACUACUCCCAGAAAGCUCUAAUUUGAGACAAUGAGUGGAAUUAUUAGGUAGUACAACAUCUUGUUAAUUAACAUCCCUCGCUGUCCUUUUAGCUACAAAAGGAAAAGAAGACAUUGGGUUACAUACUAUGACUAUCAAUUUAAAGUGUUCAAUUAAUCUAAUGUACUUUAAAAAUAAAGGAAACAGUACCUGAAAAGAUCCUAUAUAUACACACAUGCACACUCAACAGCUCCAGCUGGGAUUCAAACCCAGAAUAUUUGCUGCAAGUCAGCUGUACUGACAACUGCAUAACAAUGCAGGCUACUAUUAAAAGUUUGACAGUGAGUGCCAUUCAUUCCUUUUUACUUUUCUUUGUCAGGGUUGAACGUGGUUGGUAACUAUUUCAAAACUGAACAGGUGAGGAAUGCAGUUUGUGAAGACAAUCUGUUACAGGGUGUCACAGAUUUACCUAACAUGAAUAAAAUCUGGACAGUAAUUCAUCAAGGAAAAGGACUCUAGCAGCAUCUGUAAUAUUGAUAAAACAACUUUAUUGACCAACCAAAGGGUUUCACCUUGGUCUUCAUCAAGAUCAUCCUCCUGAUAAUGAUCUUCCUCAAGGAAACAGGAUUGCUGUAGUCCUCAACGGCUCAGAUUUUCUAUAUGCAGCUUGGAAGUAGGUGAAAUUUAGCAGGAAAUGUCUGGACAUUAGGAAUGUUUACAUGAAAAUCAGUAUGGUGUAAAAUACUAAAUGAAAACUUAGGCACAUCUAAUGGUCACAUGAUGGCAUUGUAUCAGUUUGAGUGAAUAUUUCAAAGAUUUCUGUUGCUGCUAAAUUUUCAUGUUGCUGCUUGCCUUGUUUACAAAAUAUUAGACACGUUCAGGAGAUUUGGAACCUUUAAGGAUUAAAAUGGGGCAAAAGUUAAAAAAGUGGAGUUGCAUAUUAUACAAAAUCAGUGACAUUAGACCCAAUUUAAUGACAUUUCUCUUAUAUGUAGUUUUAUAUACAAAGCCGCCAUAUAAGAUUUUGAGCUUGGGGUUGAUGUAGAACUCAGUUUGGGUAAUAAUUAUUUUCAAGGUAAAUACAAAGAAAUUUACUGAAAAUAGUGAAUGACAGUAAACCGAGAACAUGUGCCACAUGUGCUGUGUUCUUAUUGGUGAGGUCAGAACUUUGUUUGAAGGAAUAACAUCAAAGCUAACUGACCAAUUUUACUGGUCACUGAAUUAAGUUUUAUAAUUCUGUGUGAUAUACAAGAUACAAAUCAUCAGGAUUCAAAAUAAAAAAGUUGUUGUCAUAAUUUUUUUAUAUUGGUGAAAAAUUUCACUUUUAAUUACAACUUAUAAUUACAUUUUUGUUAUAACCUAUUGACUUUUUUGCCUUUCAUUUUUUAUUUGAAGCUAACGUAAUGAACUUAGCAGUCCAAACUGUUUGUGAUCGUUAUAAAACUUCUGACAAGAUGGCCGAUUCUGGCAGGCCUGGUAUUUACUGAGGUGGUGCUAGUUAUACAAAGCUUGGGAACCCAUCAUUUAGCACCAUUAGCUAGGCUAUGUGCCAACAGAACUAUUGGAGCAAUGAAAGGAAUUUUAUCUUUUGACUCUUCUGGUUUCCGCAAUGAUUGUGUGAGUUCGCCUGAGUGGAGGUGAAUGAUCUCACACAUUGAGUCCUAACUGCACAACAUUUUGUGCACAUGUGUCCGAUGAUGUUAGAGCUUCUUCAAACCAUUGUUCUCUCAGGUAAACCUUUUAUUGUGUGUUUUGUGAACAGUGUUCUGUUUACCCCAAUCAUAGCACCUUAAUGCACCCAUAAGGGAGAGAAUAUGUGUGUGCAUGUUUGUGAGCACUAACCCACAAAGGGAUGAUUUAUGCGUUGGCAGUUGAAGGUGUAAACACAGACAAGUUGGCGCACUCACAAUACACACAUAUAAACCCACACCUGGCACACCUCACACCCUUUUCAUUUCCCUUUCAGACACAAAUGUUUAAUGGUUAGCUUAUUCACACACAAAAUGCAUGGAGCUCUCUCAUACUCGCACAUGUUCUGUACAUAAAAGUUGCAGUGCACCCCACCCUCUCUUAGUUACACACACAGACAUAGAAACACUGAGGGCCUGGGGGGAAUGGAAGGCGCUGAAACUAGUUGUGUGUGUUGGGUGUUGUCUACAGCUGGAGCUGGAACUGGAGCUGGAUCUGGUUACCGAACACUCCCUAUUCCUCCCUUCUAUAGCUUAACACACACCGUAAAUAAUGUCCACAUGCGCAACUGACCCCACACUUUAUCUUGUAAACUGAUAAACUGAUUUCUCUUGCACACGUGCAUGUCAGUGAAACAUGCCUGGGGAGACUUUCAGGGUCCCAGUGCAUCAAAGUCCACUGAGUUCACAGUGAGCUUACACUAUCUCAAAACAGUUUACAGAGAGAGAAGAAAAAAACAAUGGUGUGUGUGGGCGUGUGCGUGUGUGGGAGAGACAGUACAUGUAAAGGUGCUUUCUCCCUGGCGGUUUGUCUAGUAUCAAAAAACUUAACCGGUAGAGUGAGAUUACCACCUCACCUCCAAACACCAAACGUUCAACUGAAUUUGUUUGCAUAAUGAUAGCGUGGUUCUUACUUCUCCUUCAUUGUGUCUCUCUCUAUUUUCCCUCUCAAUCAGCUCAAGCAAUUAUCCUUCAUCUUCUUCCAACACCUCCCCUUGUUUUUCCCUCAGUUUAUGUGUUUUUCCUCAACCAUUCCCCUUCUCUCCAUGUGAAUUUUAUUGCGCAUUUGAGCAAUCUGAAAUCAUUGCAUGUACUGCAGGCAAAAAAGGGGGAGCUUACAAACCAGCUGAAGGGGAAGGAAGAGGGGAGACAAACAAAAAAAGACAAAUAAAAGACACCUGGAACAAAAGCAAAAAAAAAAAAAAAACAGGACAUGAGGAGGAA